rnacentral:rRNA from 1 species
CCCGCACAGGCGGUGGAGCAUGUGGUUUAAUUCGAUGCAACGCGAAGAACCUUACCUGGGCUUGACAUCCCGGGAAUCCCUUGGAAACAAGGGAGUGCCCUUCGGGGAACCUGGAGACAGGUGCUGCAUGGCUGUCGUCAGCUCGUGUCGUGAGAUGUAGGGUUAAGUCCCGCAACGAGCGCAACCCUUGUCUUUAAUUGCCAUCAUUGAGUUGGGCACUUUAAAGAGACUGCCGGUGUUAAACCGGAGGAAGGUGGGGAUGACGUCAAGUCCUCAUGGCCCUUAUGUCCAGGGCUACACACGUGCUACAAUGGCCGGUACAAAGGGCUGCAAGACCGUGAGGUUGAGCGAAUCCCAGAAAGCCGGUCUCAGUUCGGAUUGGAGUCUGCAACUCGACUCCAUGAAGUUGGAAUCGCUAGUAAUCGCGGAUCAGCAUGCCGCGGUCGAAUACGUUCCCGGGCCUU